GACGAACGCUAGCGGCAGGCCUAAUACAUGCAAGUCGAACGGUGUCUUCGGACAUAGUGGCGCACGGGUGCGUAACACGUAUGCAACCUACCUUACAUUGGGGGAUAGCCUUUCGAAAGGGAGAUUAAUACCGCAUAAGACAGUAGCUGGGCAUCCAGCAGCUGUUAAAGAUUUAUCGAUGUAAGCUGGGCAUGCGUCCAAUUAGCUAGUUGGUGAGGUAACGGCUCACCAAGGCAAUGAUUGGUAGGGGAACUGAGAGGUCAAUCCCCCACACUGGCACUGAGAUACGGGCCAGCCUCCUACGGGAGGCAGCAGUAGGGAAUAUUGGGCAAUGGACGCAAGUCUGACCCAGCCAUGCCGCGUGCAGGAUGAAGGCGUUAUGCGUUGUAAACUGCUUUUAUACAGGAAGAAACGACUCUUGCGAGAGGCAUUGACGGUACUGUAUGAAUAAGCACCGGCUAACUCCGUGCCAGCCGCCGCCGUAA
rnacentral:rRNA from 1 species